GAUGAACGCUGGCGGCGUGCUUAACACAUGCAAGUCGAACGAAGCACUUUAAUUGAUUUCUUCGGAAUGAAGUUUUUGUGGCUGAGUGGCGGACGGGUGAGUAACGCGUGGGUAACCUGCCUCAUACAGGGGGAUAACAGUUGGAAACGACUGCUAAUACCGCAUAAGCGCACAGGAUUGCAUGAUCCAGUGUGAAAAACUCCGGUGGUAUGAGAUGGACCCGCGUCUGAUUAGCCAGUUGGCGGGGUAACGGCCCACCAAAGCGACGAUCAGUAGCCGACCUGAGAGGGUGAUCGGCCACAUUGGGACUGAGACACGGCCCAAACUCCUACGGGAGGCAGCAGUGGGGAAUAUUGCACAAUGGGGGAAACCCUGAUGCAGCGACGCCGCGUGAGCGAAGAAGUAUUUCGGUAUGUAAAGCUCUAUCAGCAGGGAAGAAGAAUGACGGUACCUGACUAAGAAGCAC
rnacentral:rRNA from 1 species